AGUACAGGCACAGUAACAGUCCACAGCCUGUAAGCACCACUUCCCUUCCCGUGCAGCGAGCACAGAAGAAGGAAGGACUGGAGACAGUUACAAGUUCACAAGAAGGAACCAAGGAUCAGCCUGAGAGAACCCAGAGUUAAGGCUCUUAGGGUUUCUGAGAGCUCGGCUGGAAGUGACUGGGUGACAAGGCACACAGGCUCAGCUGUGGCAGCUCCAUCAUGAUUCCACAGGUAGUGACCAAUGAGACCAUCACAACGAUUUCACCAAAUGGAAUCAACUUUCCCCAAAAAGACGAGUCCCAGCCUACCCAACAGAGGCAAGACAGCCUGAAGAAACAUCUAAAGGCUGAGAUCAAAGUGAUAGUGGCAAUCCAGAUCAUGUGUGCUGUGACAGUGUUGGCUCUGGGAAUCAUUUUGGCAUCUGUUCCUCCUGUCCCAUAUUUUAACUCAGUGUUUUCUGUCCUGUUAAAAUCUGGCUACCCAUUUAUAGGAGCUUUGUUUUUUAUUGCCUCUGGAAUUUUGUCCAUCAUUACGGAGAGAAAGUCAACAAAACCUUUGGUAGAUGCCAGCCUAACUCUGAAUAUCCUGAGUGUUUCAUUUGCUUUCGUGGGCAUCAUUAUCAUCUCUGUCAGCCUGGCUGGUUUGCAUCCUGCCUCAGAGCAAUGCAAGCAGAGCAAGGAGCUUAGUCUAAUUGAACAUGACUACUACCAACCUUUCUACAACUCAGACAGGAGUGAAUGUGCCGUCACCAAGUCUAUUCUGACUGGAGCCCUUUCAGUGAUGCUGAUCAUCAGUGUGUUGGAGCUUGGUCUGGCUUUGCUCUCUGCCAUGCUGUGGUUGAGAGAGGGUGUUCUGACUUCCCUUAGGGAAGGAAGGCCUACCAUCUAGAACUCUCAGUUGAUGUUUUCAUUACUACAUCCACAUUCUACCUCAGCCAUCACUGUUGUCAUCAAAAUUUCCGAACCUUUUAUGAAACAAGAAGACAUCCGUAUCAACUCUACAGGGACUAUAAGCACUUAAAGUCAAAUAGAGAACCAGUUUAUACAAUUAAAAGAAAUGAAAACAAACAGUAGAAAGAUAUAAAUUGGGGAAAGCUACCCAAGAAUAAUUACCAUAAAAGAAUCUAAAAUAUGAAUGGUUAUAUAACAAGUGAAGGAAUGGAAGCAAUAGUCAAAAACCUCGCCAGCAAGUGAACCUCAGGCUCAGGGUGCUUCAACAGUCAACUCAUUUCAGUAUUUAAAGAAAACUAUACCAAUCAUUUGCAAAUGAAUGUUAAAAAGAAAGAAGGAUAGGACACUCCAAUCUUAUUCCAUGAAUUUAGUGUCCUGAUACAGAAACAUUACAUGAUUAGAGCUAUGGAAAAUUCACUUCUAGUGCAUUUUACACCUAUCUAUUCUGUUGGCAUGUCUUUUUUCAGUGUCGGUCACAGCCUGGGCAAAAGACUUGCAAUAUACAAUCUCUUUUCUGCCUCCUCUUAGCCAACUUCAUUCUGGCAUUGGAGCACUCCUGUGGUAUAAGUAGGCUUUGACCAUCACAGUCUAUAUAUUUUUAGCUAGUAAUUUUUUAGCACUUUUACUAAUUUCAUGUUAGUGUUGGGUUCAACUAUUCUCAUUUAUAAAUAUUGUCAUAUUUAAGCCCAGCUAUUAAUUUUUUAUGUAAAUAAAAAUGUAAACAUAUUUCUUCAAGUUUUGUUCUAUGCUUUUUCUGUAAUAUUAAAUAUCAUUCUGAUGUGAUAUUGUUCAUGUUUGUGUUCUGACUUAUGUACUUAAAAGCUUAGACAUUAUUGAAUGCCUGUAUAUCUAUGUAGCUAUGAACUAUAUACUCACUAUCUGGGAGUUCCUUUCAGAACUAUAUGACUUCCACUUAGGUACUAAAAUUAAUGUAAUACUAAUCAUCUUUAUAAAAGACUCUAAAAUAUCUCUAAACAAUUAAAAACAAAAGAACAAUAGCUUCUCUUUUUUGAAAUUUUCAUAGAAAUGUAUAGAGUUUUUUUUUCUUUUAUUGCUGGAGCAGAGAAGAGAAGAUCGUUAACUGAAGUGUUUGACUACAUUUGUGUGUGUGUGUUUCUGAGAACAAAUAAGAUCACAUGUGAUUUCCGUCUGUUUUAACUAAAGGCAUGUUUUAGAUCUCCUUAUUGCAUAUUUCCUUUGUCUUUCUAAGAAAUCAGCUCAAAUAAAUCAUGAAUGAGUAUAUGCAGACCUCCGCAGUGUGAACUGUGUUAGUGAUGCUAAAGCAAUGCUCCUGAGCCUUAAAGAAUGGGUAACUUUUUUCUCAGAUUAAUAAAACAAAAAGGAAGCAAGCAAAAACCGAAUUGCAAACUCAUGACAAGUCUUUAGAUAUGGAAUUUUCCACUCCUUACUUUCCUUUAGUUUUAUUUACACUGAACUUCUCAUAACCCAGGCAUGCUCACACUCUCCACACUGGGCUCCUUCUCAGAGCAAUGCAAAGAACUAGGAAUAGGAAUGGUCUCUUCUUACCUUUGCAUAUUUUCAUAGCACGGUCACCGAAUUUAAUGUCCUGUCUGCUAUGGAGACUCUGUUCAAUCCUCAAAAAGACUGACAUGCUCUGGUGUGGGUAUGUGACAGAAACAUUACCUUGAGUCCUCCUUGGCCAUCUGUUUCCUGCUACUUCAACUUCACAGAAGAGCGUCUGUGAAACUGCAAGCACAGUGCUCUGUGAGACACUGGUCUCUCCCCACUUCUUUCAUGGUAAUGACUCUGCCUCAAAGCCCAUCAACAAGAGAACAGAUAAAGGAUUAAUGUCAUACAUACAGAAGGGAACCAUGAUGAAAAAUUAAAUCCUCUCAUUUGUACAAAAAUGUAUAGAACAUGGAGCCUUUGAAUCAAUAAAAUAAGAAAGACAUUUGAACACAGUACUGCAUUUUCUCUGAUAUGUAGAAAUAAUUAAACAACUUAACAAUAUGAAAGUAGAGAGAAACUGGCAGAGGCCAUGCAGCAUCUCCAGGGAAGAGCAUAUAAGUGCUUCACUGAUGUACUCUGCUGUGGCAAGGUCCUUGGAGACCCCUGGGAUUCUACUGUGGCAAAGCCCAUGGAAUCCCCUUCCCACUUGGCAAGAGCCUGUAGUAUAUUUAGUGGCCCCUAUGCUUAUUCCCUAGAUCAUGUGUGCUACCAUCUCUCCUUGCAUUUGCUAUGCUGCCAAUACCCAAAGCAAAAUUUGGUUUCAUUUUGUCAGUCAUGGGCAAAGCCAGGAUCAUGCAGGAGGAAAGCCCUAAGGAUAAUCUUGUUUUUGUCAAUACUCUUUUGAAGGAUAAAUUCUUCCUCUUCUCUCUUUGCCGCUAUAGAUCCUCCAGAUGUGACCAUUAAUCCUGGAUAUGAGGGAACAUGUAAUCAUGUCUGUAGAUAAACAGCUACAGUCAUACUGAAUACGCUUGUGCCAGUUGUUAGAGUGGUAGUUCCAGUUUGCAUAAGUGUUCUGAGACAGACAUGUCUGAUCAAGAGAGACGUUAAUGAUGAAGCUAUGUGCAAUCAACCGAUAUUUAAAAUGGGGAAGUUAUGUCUGACCAACAGAGUUAGAAAAUGGAGAAGUUGUGUCUGAUCAAUAGAGUUAGAAAAUAGGGAAGCUAUGUCUGAUCAAUUGAGACUUAAAAGUGGCUCUUGAAAUGUUGCUAUCAGGAACUGAUAAGUAUAUAUCAGGAAAGAUUACUUGGUACAAUAAACAUGUCUCUGUCUGCAAUUUAAAAAGUAUUAUGACAGAGGGGUGCUAUGUGUUGACUGAACUUGUACCCACAAAUAUUUAAUUCUGUCUUUCACUUUGCAUAACUAUGUAACUGUAUUUGGUACCUGAACUGGAAAUUUCUGGUUUCCUUGGAGAUUCAGUUGUGUCGUGUGAUGUUUUUCUGGAAACUGUCCUAUGAGAGGAUGUUUAUGCUGAAGCAGACAAGUAGGAGGAUGUUUUUCUCAGAACAGUCAUAUGGUGUUUUUUCUGAAGCAGCCAUGUGUCGUUUGCUAGAACAGACACUUGAGAGAACAUGGGAUGUUUGGAAAGGGUUUAAAUAGAACCCAAUGGACUGUGGACAACACUUUGUGCUAUUGGGACAACUGGCCACCCUGUACUGGUCAUCAUUUGUUGAAUACCACUUCUAGUGGUAUUCUUGUGGCUUCUUGCUGUUUCCUUGAGCCAACUGAAAGAGCCUCACAGUUUCUUCUUGAUUGAACUGCUGUUGCUGAUUUCUGAAUGGUGUUUGUGAGUGGAUCAAGCUACCUCAGCUGAUUUGUGUGAACUGGACUGCUGAUAUUCAGACAAUGAAGAUUGGAAUCACCUCAAAGAACUAUUUCUAAACAGGUACUGGUGGACAUAUCCCCACUGAACAGAACCUCUCUACACAUGCUCUAUAUCCUGACUAUGAGGAGGUGGCACCUCACCUCUUUAACUUGACCUAACAUUGCAGUGUGCCAAACCUGCUUUUUGCCCACUUUACCAUCUAGAGGGUCUGUGUCUGGGUGUAGUGUCUUAUGUUUUUUUUUCACAAUAAUAAAUGCAAUGAAUUUGUUGCUGUCAA